rnacentral:ncRNA from 1 species
GUCUCCGAUAGCAACGAACGUGACCGUACUCUAUUGUUGCAGCGACAAUACCUUUCAACGGGUAUUACCGCUGCUUAGCAAGAUUCGUCUUGCAUUAAACUAUAGAGACCGCUGUUUCUUCUUUAAACCAGAGGAAGGAUACGGCAAUAACAGGUCUGUGAUGCCCUCAGAUGUUCCGGGCUGCACACGUGCUACAAUGAUCAUUGCACUGUGCAUCUAACCCAAUGUGCGCGGACGCCGCCGUGCGUAUAUACUUUAUUGUGUAUGCGUAUCGUGCGUGCGACCGCGCCGAACCUGCUUCGAAAGUAAACAUUUCCAGCGGGUAAUCCAUUAGAAGUAAUGACUCGCAUAGACCAUGGCACACUAUAUGUACCCGCGGGUUCUACCCGGCUCGCCUUUGUGUGAGUGCAGUGCGUAGCUCGUUGUUUGGUACGUGCCACUCCGUAUUAAUUCAUACGUGGGGAUAGAUCAUUGUUUAAUUGUUGGUCUCGGUCUUAACUAGGAAUGCC